GGGUGCGAUCAUACCAGCACCAAUGCACCGGA
rnacentral:rRNA from 1 species